rnacentral:tRNA from 1 species
GCCUGGGGGGCUCAGUCGGUCGAGCAUCUGACUUCAGCUCAGGUCAUGACCCUCAGGUCAGGGUUCGUGGGUUUGAGCCCCACGUCGGGCU